UGUCGUGAGAUGUUGGGUUAAGUCCCGCAACGAGCGCAACCCCUAUCUUUAGUUGCCAGCAUUUCGGAUGGGCACUCUAGAGAGACUGCCGAGGAUAACUCGGAGGAAGGUGGGGAUGACGUCAAAUCAUCAUGCCCCUUAUCUUUUGGGCUACACACGUGCUACAAUGGCUGGUACAGAGGGCAGCGAUAGAGUGAUCUGGAGCAAAUCCUAAAAGCCAGUCCCAGUUCGGAUUGUAGGCUGAAACUCGCCUACAUGAAGCUGGAGUUGCUAGUAAUCGUGAAUCAGAAUGUCACGGUGAAUGCGUUCCCGGGUCUUGUACACACCGCCCGUCACACCAUGGAAGUUGGGGGCACCCGAAGUCAGUCGACAAAGACUGCCGAAGGUGAAAUCAAUGACUAGGGUGAAGUCGUAACAAGGUA
rnacentral:rRNA from 1 species